rnacentral:rRNA from 1 species
CCCGCCGAGCCGUCGGAACUGGGGGCCUUGAGUGCGGUAGGGGCAGGCGGAAUUCCCGGUGUAGCGGUGGAAUGCGCAGAUAUCGGGAAGAACACCGAUGGCGAAGGCAGCCUGCUGGGCCGACACUGACGCUGAGGCGCGAAAGCUAGGGGAGCGAA